AAAUUAUUCUCUUUGUCCAACAAAAGAUGUCUCAAGUUUGUCAAUUUUUAGAUGUAUUUAGACAUGACUUAGUGUAUAGAUGUAUUCAAAUUUAGUCAAAAGUGAGACAUCCUUUGUUGGACGGAGAAAUAAAAU
rnacentral:pre_miRNA from 1 species